rnacentral:rRNA from 1 species
UGGGGAAUAUUGGACAAUGGGGGCAACCCCUGAUCCAGCAAUGCCGCGUGUGUGAAGAAGGUCUUCGGAUUGUAAAGCACUUUCGACGGGGACGAUGAUGACGGUACCCGUAGAAGAAGCCCCGGCUAACUUCGUGCCAGCAGCCGCGGUAAUACGAAGGGGGGCUAGCGUUGCUCGGAAUGACUGGGCGUAAAGGGCGUGUAG